rnacentral:rRNA from 1 species
UACGUAGGGUGCAAGCGUUGUCCGGAAUUACUGGGUGUAAAGGGUCCGCAGGCGGGCAAGCAAGUCGGUGGUGAAAUUCUAUAGCUCAACUGUAGAACUGCCUUCGAUACUGUUUGUCUUGAGUUCGAGAGAGGAUGAUGGAAUUCAUGGUGUAGCGGUGAAAUGCGUAGAGAUCAUGAAGAACACCGGUAGCGAAGGCGGUCAUCUGGCUCGAUACUGACGCUCAGGGACGAAAGCGUGGGGAGCAAAC